rnacentral:rRNA from 1 species
GUAGGUGGCAAGCGUUGUCCGGAAUUAUGGGCGUAAAGCGCGCGCAGGCGGUCCUUUAAGUCUGAUGUGAAAGCCCACGGCUCAACCGUGGAGGGUCAUUGGAAACUGGGGGACUUGAGUACAGAAGAGGAAAGCGGAAUUCCAAGUGUAGCGGUGAAAUGCGUAGAGAUUUGGAGGAACACCAGUGGCGAAGGCGGCUUUCUGGUCUGUAACUGACGCUGAGGCGCGAAAGCGUGGGGAGCAAACAGGAUUAGAUACCCUGGUAGUCCACGCCGUAAACGAUGAGUGCUAAGUGUUAGGGGGUUUCCCGCCCCCCUUAGUGCUGCAGCUAACGCAUUAAGCACUCCGCCUGGGGAGUACGGCCGCAAGGCUG